rnacentral:rRNA from 1 species
UUGAACUGAAGAGUUUGAUCAUGGCUCAGAUUGAACGCUGGCGGCAGGCCUAACACAUGCAAGUCGAGCGGAUGAUGGGAGCUUGCUCCUUGAUUCAGCGGCGGACGGGUGAGUAAUGCCUAGGAAUCUGCCUGGUAGUGGGGGACAACGUUUCGAAAGGAACGCUAAUACCGCAUACGUCCUACGGGAGAAAGCAGGGGACCUUCGGGCCUUGCGCUAUCAGAUGAGCCUAGGUCGGAUUAGCUAGUUGGUGGGGUAAUGGCUCACCAAGGCGACGAUCCGUAACUGGUCUGAGAGGAUGAUCAGUCACACUGGAACUGAGACACGGUCCAGACUCCUACGGGAGGCAGCAGUGGGGAAUAUUGGACA